UCAAGCCCGAGGAUGACGGGGGGAGUCGAGAGUGAUGGGAUGGGACGUUACUAUGAUCCUUAAAGACGGCCUCAGCCUUCGCAAGGCCGAUCUGCGGUUCGUG
rnacentral:sRNA from 1 species